GAGCAUUGCAGGGUAGCUACGUUCGGAAGGGAUAAGCGCUGAAAGCAUAUAAGCGCGAAACCCACCACAAGAUGAGAUUUCUUUAAAGGGUCGUGGAAGAUUACCACGUUGAUAGGCUAUAGGUGUAAAGGCAGUAAUGUCAUAGCCGAGUAGUACUAAUAACCCAUAGGCUUAUUGUC
rnacentral:rRNA from 1 species